UCCUAUGAUGGUAUGAAAUCUUUGAGACCUGAGUUUCUUUUAAAUUUGAUGAAACAUACAAGCUUUUUUGUUUCUGAGGAU